GAUGAACGCUAGCUACAGGCUUAACACAUGCAAGUCGAGGGGUAACGAGAGGAAAGCUUGCUUUCCUUGUCGACGACCGGCGCACGGGUGAGUAACGCGUAUCCAACCUGCCCCCAACUAGGGAAUAACCUUGCGAAAGUAAGACUAAUACCCUAUAAUUUCCUCAGAUGUCAUCUGACGAGGAAUAAAGAUUUAUCGGUUGUGGAUGGGGAUGCGCCUGAUUAGCUUGUUGGCGGGGUAACGGCCCACCAAGGCAACGAUCAGUAGGGGUUCUGAGAGGAAGGUCCCCCACAUUGGAACUGAGACACGGUCCAAACUCCUACGUGGGGCAGCAGUGAGGAAGAUUGGUCAAUGGGCGGAAGCCUGAACCAGCCAAGUAGCGUGCAGGAUGACGGCCCUAUGGGUUGUAAACUGCUUUUAUACAGGAAUAAAGUUAGCCACGUGUGGUUAUUUGUAGGUACUGUAUGAAUAAGGACCGGCUAAUUCCGUGCCAGCAGCCGCCGUAA
rnacentral:rRNA from 1 species